CUCACGCUCGGACUGCUAUACGAGUUGACGGUAAUCGUUUCGAACUAGUGAACGUUUCACAACAUAGACAAAUUAACGAAAUCAUCGUUUCCAUCAUAAACGAUUUGCUGGCGGAUUUCUCCGCAUACAAUGUGUACUACCAAUAGUCAAAAUGGCGGCGUUCGUGGAGUUCGUUUCGCCGAGUCGCGGGUGCAGCGGACGGCGACAAAAUCGUUCGCCCCAGUGUUGUGAACACGCGGUGAGAAAAAACACGGCGGUACUCGCGACGUGGAAAGAUAUAAUACUUCUGGUUCCCGAAGAUUUUCAUACAGUUUAUAGAGCGAAUUUUGUUGGCUAAAGUCCCGACGGUUCGGACCAGAUAUUCAGAUAAUAACGAAAGUGCCCAAUUAACCAUGUUUCGUCUAUUCAUAUUAUAUUAGGUAGGUAUCAACUGACGUUAUGUUCAAUCCUUUGAUUCUAUUGGUCAAACGUUUCUUUCAAUCAAUCUCAGCGUCUAUUAUUAUUAUACAUUUUCUUUGUGG